rnacentral:lncRNA from 1 species
AUUUUCUGAAAGGAAUGAAGUGGCUUACAGUCAGCAACCCCCUCCACAGAUAUAACCAUUUCCUGUAUAAAAAGGAGGACAGAGCAGAGAGGAGAGGCAGGCUGGAUGAUGUGACUCCUCAUUUUAGAAGCUGCACAUCUGGAUGCUUACAUGACUGAAUCAUUCCACUAUUUCUCUGUUAGGUGGCAGAAGUUUAUUUCUGUCAGGGAUUUGUGUCAUGAAACAAAUACUGUGGCUUGCUUAUCAUGUCCGGGGAGAGCUUUCCAGGCAGGCUACUGUGAGAAGCCCCUGCCAUGAUCCUGAAAUAUCUUACCAAGGACAGAGCGAUGGAGGAGGUUUGCCUUCCUUACAGUCCAAGGCAGUUGGUGUUAGGGAUCACAGAACAGCAACCAGAUGGAUGGAGGCAGUGUGCCUUCCUGUGUUUGCCAGGAAACUUUGCUCUGUCUUGGGCAAUCCAGGUGUUUGACAACUCCAGGUCCCCGUCACAGGAGGCAGCUACAGAGAGCUAGAUUGAGCAGUGUCGGUGCUGUCUGGUGGAGAGGACAUCUACCAGGCAAAGAGAGAAGAAGUGGACAUGCCUUUCUUACUCCAGCCUAUUUGUUGGGCAGAAAAGCCUUUCUGUACUUGGGAGGAGAGGCCAUGUGGGAAGUGCUUGCUCCUGUGAGGUGCAGGAGAGUGAAACACUGA